CCUGAUCAGCGAAGUGCAGCUGCAACUUUAGCGCUAUAUUGGGAGAAACCAUUCGAUUCUUUCAUUUAUAACUAACUCUGAUUUUUCCAUUUAUAUUAACAAAAUAUGCAUGUGGGAGGCAUGGUAAUUCUAAGUAGACAUAAUCAGGAUACAUGCUGUUUUCAAGGACAGCAUAGGGCACAAAAUGCGCAGAUUGGCGUCCCACCCAGAGUUAUUCCCUGCCUUGCCCGUAACGAACCUGAAUAGGACAGAAAAUAUAUGAUUGGGUGGAUGGAUUGAUCUUUUUAAGAUUUAACACCUGACGGAAAAACUCUCAAGCAGCAGGAAGUCAUCUUGCUACCUGUAUUGCUACAGAAUGGUCCCCUCUUCAUUGCAACUGUUUUUUAAUUUGGAGAAUUUAAUUUUGAAAAUGACCCUAUUUAAAUGCUUGCAGAUUCACAGAUUAACUGCAUGUCUCAAGAAUUAUUUAAGGAUUAUGGUAAAACUUAACUUGUCGAGGCACAAAUACUUAGUAUUAACGUCUUAGUACUUUAGUACAAAUCAUGAACAAAUGUAGUCGCUACCUGAGAUGAAAGAUGCGUCACGAUUCAUUAAUGAUGAACAAACAGUUCAGAGAUCAGUAUGU